AAGUCGUAACAAGGUUUCCGUAGGUGAACCUGCGGAAGGAUCAUUAACACGUAUCCAACGUUAAACAACCCUGUGAACUUUCAGCGCUCUUGUCACCAGGCGGAACAGCAAUCCCGGUAAAUCAAUUGGCGGAAAAAGUUUUGAUUCGGGACCUCUGUCCAAAAGGUUACAAUCGAGUUGAGCAGUGGCAUGGGACAUGUCACAGGGCUAUACGCCCCUUCAUUCACCCCUUGCCCUCUCCUGCCCGCCGGAAACGUCGGGCACAAAAACUGAACAACUGUUAACAAUGGAUAUCUUGGUUCUC
rnacentral:misc_RNA from 1 species